GCACUGGCGGUGCAGUGGUAGAAUUCUCUCUUUCCAUACAAGAGACCCAGGUUCAGUUCCUGGCCAGUGCA
rnacentral:tRNA from 1 species